GUGCUGGUAGAGAAGCUGGGGUCGGUCCAUCUCGCCCUCCGGAGGCGGGAGCGCAGGUUCGAAUCCUGCCCAGGGCUCCA
rnacentral:tRNA from 1 species